rnacentral:misc_RNA from 1 species
GAAAUGCGAUAAGUAAUGUGAAUUGCAGAAUUCAGUGAAUCAUCGAAUCUUUGAACGCACCUUGCGCUCCUUGGUAUUCCUUGGAGCAUGCCUGUUUGAGUAUCAUGAAAUCUUCAAAGUAAAUCUUUUGUUAACUCAAUUGGUUUCUACUUUGGUAUUGGAGGUCUUUGCAGCUUCACACCUGCUCCUCUUUGUUCAUUAGCUGGAUCUCAGUGUUAUGCUUGGUUCACUCGGCGUGAUAAGUUAUCUAUCGCUGAGGACACUGUAAAAGGUGGCCAAGGUAAAUGCAGAUGAACCGCUUCUAAUAGUCCAUUGACUUGGACAAUACUUUUACGAUCUGAUCUCAAAUCAGGUAGGACUACCCGCUGAACUUAAGC